GGCUCUAUGUGGUUUUGUCUCUUUCACCAGGGUCCGCCAAAGGUCUACAAUGGAUUCAGGAGACUGAAGCCUGAAUCCUUGGAGAGCCCAGAGGAGCCCACCGAGCCCACCUGUGCCUUAUUCUCUCUUCUUCUCCAGCGGCAGCUGCUGGGAUCUUUGCAUUAGCAUUUUGUCCUGAGCUACCCUACCGUGACUGCAGACAAUACCACAGUGUGACCUCGGAGCAAUGGCAGGUACUUGAUAUCAUCUCAAGCACAGCAACCUUCACAAAUCUCCUUGGAGUAACUUUAGAAUGACAUGGUCUCCAUUGUUCCCAGGGCAGACGUCAUAGCACUUCCAUGGCCUGGAAGAGCCAACAAACUGAAAAUCUUCAAAGUGUUGACUGAAGUACAUCUUACUUGGCUUCCCUUGAAUGUACAGAAAGCCUGGAAAGAAGCAAUUGAGUAGGAUGACUGGCCUUUAGCUGUUGCCAGUUGACAUUGCCAGGUCCAGAAGAACUAUGAUCUAAUUUCCACUUCAAGGAGACUACAAACAAAUGUAAACAAUCAGUUUCCAAGGCCACUGUCCAAGUCCUGGUGUCCUGGUCCCUUCUGCACUGUAAUGUAUGUCUCAGUAUCCUGGUAACUGCUAGAGAGAGGCUCCCUGUUGAGAUGACCAGUACAGAUUGCAAUCUCAAUAGCACGGUCGGAAUAAGCACAUCUUUUUACGGUUAACAAGAUCUUGAUAUUUUCAGAAACUCACUCAGUACCCAUGAUAAUGUCACAAGGCAAAUUAGUAUUAAAAGGCAAACUUUGAAAGAUCUCCAGAGACCUACAAGGAUGACAAGAUCUGACAGUCCGGGCAGUGGAGGAGAGGAUGGCCUAGAAGCCCCUCCCCUAGAAUGAGAGUGAUGACUACUCUCUAUGCUAUCCUAGAGUCCUCAUCCAGUGGCUGAUGGAAGCAGAGACAGACAUACACAGAAAUACACUGAGCUGAAUUCUGGAACCUAGUUGAAGAGAGGGAGGAAUGAAGAACGAAGGGGUCUGUACCAGGUUGGAGAAACCCACAUAAACAGUUGGCCUGAAAAAGGGAAAGCAUAUCGACCCCAGACACUCUUUGCUCUUUGGGAGGCCAGUACGGG
rnacentral:lncRNA from 1 species